UACCUGACAUUGGUUUCAGGUGUCCGCUUAUCGUGGAUGAAAAGGGAACCCGGUGUAAAUCCGGGACGGGCCCGCCGCUGUGACCGGGGACGAACGUCGCAUGAGAGCCACUGAUCAAUGCGAUCGGGAAGGCGCGACAAGUAGCUUGAUCCGGAAGUCAGAAGACCUGCCUGAAACGUUGUUGAUUU
rnacentral:ncRNA from 2 species